UACAGAGGUCUCAAGCGUUGUUCGGAUUCAUUGGGCGUAAAGGGUGCGUAGGUGGCGCCGUAAGUGGGGUGUGAAAUCUCGGGGCUUAACUCCGAAACUGCAUUCCAUACUGCGGUGCUUGAGGACUGGAGAGGAGACUGGAAUUCAUGGUGUAGCAGUGAAAUGCGUAGAGAUCAUGAGGAAGACCAGUGGCGAAGGCGGGUCGUCUGGUCCGGUACUGACGCUGAGGUGCGAAAGCGUGGGGAGCAAACAGG
rnacentral:rRNA from 1 species